AACGCACCUUGCGCUCCUUGGUAUUCCGAGGAGCAUGCCUGUUUGAGUGUCAUCGAAUUCUCAAUCAAGCCUUGAUUUUCGUGACCUUCGAGGCUUGACUUGGAGUUGGAGGUUGCUGGCUGCCAAUGCGGUCGGCUCCUCUGAAAUAUAUUAGCAAAGGAACGAGCAAGGUUCCUGACAUGCACGGCCUUUCGACGUGAUAAUGAUCGUCGUGGCUGGAGUGUCUUUCCUUGAUACGAAAUCCUCUGCUUCGAAAACACCCCCCUCUGAUGCGAGCUAAGCUUUAGCUACUAGUCAGUCGAGAGACUGACGAACGCAAGGCCGGGCAAAGGAUCGGAUCACUUUUAAGACUUGACCUCAAAUCAGGUAGGACUACCCGCUGAACUUAA
rnacentral:misc_RNA from 1 species